rnacentral:rRNA from 1 species
AUUGAACGCUGGCGGCAGGCCUAACACAUGCAAGUCGAGCGGAUGAAGGGAGCUUGCUCCUGGAUUCCGCGUCGGACGGGUGAGUAAUGCCUAGGAAUCUGCCUGGCAGUGGGGGAUAACGUCCGGAAACGGGCGCUAAUACUGCAUACGUCCUGAGGGAGAAAGUGGGGGAUCUUCGGACCUCACGCUCUCAGAUGAGCCUAGGCCGGAUUAGCUAGUUGGUGGGGUAAAGGCCUACCAAGGCGACAAUCCGUAACUGGUCUGAGGGGAUGAUAAGUCACACUGAAACUGAGACACGGCCCAGGCACUGAGAGAAGGCAGAGGUGGGUAAGAGAGGACAAAGGGGGAAAGCCUGAACAAGCCGUGGAACGUGUGUGAAGAAGGGCUGCGGGUUGUAAGGCGCUUUAAGUUGGGAGAAAGGCCAGUGAGUUAGAACCUGGCUGUUUGAACGUAACCAACAAAGUAGGCACGGCUAAACUCGUG